rnacentral:rRNA from 1 species
CCCCCUUGUGGUCGGGUGACAGGUGGUGCAUGGCUGUCGUCAGCUCGUGUCGUGAGAUGUUGGGUUAAGUCCCGCAACGAGCGCAACCCUUGUUCUGUGUUGCCAGCAUGCCCUUCGGGGUGAUGGGGACUCACAGGAGACUGCCGGGGUCAACUCGGAGGAAGUCGGAGGAAGGUGGGGACGACGUCAAGUCAUCAUGCCCCUUAUGUCUUGGGCUGCACACGUGCUAC